rnacentral:lncRNA from 1 species
UGCUUUUCACCACCUUCCUUCUCUCUCUUCUAGUUGCCUGGGGCAGAAGUGUUGAUGGAGAAGUGGGUUAACAUAGUGCUUCUAACGCUGCCAGCUCCUGAUGCCAGCACUCCUUUCUCAGCCUGCUCUCUGCUCAAAUUGAGUAUUAAAAAAAGAAAUAAAAGCCACAAAUGGGCUGAUGUGAGCAGAUGGUUUCGGUCAUAACCACAAAAACCUUCUUGUUUCCCGUUCCUGAUCGACACUGCUCUUGCAUAACGCCAAGUCCAUGACACUGAUGAAGAAAAUGCUGGCAUUAUCUGCCUGUUCCAGGGAUGAUGGACUGAAAGUUUGUGUCCCCCUUCUUCCCCCACCAAAGAUUCAUAUGUUGAAAUCCUGACCAUGAAGCUGAUGGUAUUGGGGGUUUGGGAAGCGAUUAGGUCUUGAAACUGGAGCCCUCAUAAAUGGGAUGAGUGCCCUCAUAAAAGAGACUCCAGAGAGCUUUGUAGACCUCCCUCUCUGCCAUGUGAAGAUGGAAAGAGAAGGCAGUCAUCUGCAACCCAGAAGAGGCCUUCGCCAGAGCCUGACCAGGCUGACACCCUGAUCUUGGAUGUCCAGCAUCUAUAACUGUAAGAAAUAAAUGACUGCUUAAGCUGCCCACUUUGUAGUAUUUCAGUUACAGCAGGCUGAAUGGAGCAAGACAUAGGGUUGGCCACUGCAGGGCCCCCUCUUUUUUUCUGGACCAGAACGUGCUCGAUGGAGUUUCUGGGCACCAAGAGACAGAGGGUGGUGGGAGAGUUCCCUUGUUCUUUAUUCUGGAUUGAAGUAAAAUGCUCACACAUAAUUGAUGUCAUGAAUUUUUUUUU